rnacentral:lncRNA from 1 species
CUCGUGCAUUUGGCGGACAGAGCCUCAAGUUUGGAAAGGGCGGGCAGGCCCAUCGGUGCUGCUGUGUGGCUGAUCGGACCGGCCACUCAAUAUUGCACACCUCAUAUGGGAGGUCUCUGCAAUAUGAUACCAGCUGUUUUGUGGAGUAUUUUGCCUUGGACCUCCUGAUGGAGAACAGAGAGUGCCGUGGUGUCAUCGCACUGUGCAUACAGGACGGGUCCAUCUGUCGCAUAAGAGCAAAGAACACUGUUGUUGCCACAGGGUAGGAAUCUAAUUUCUACUUUAUUUCCUUUGUAAAAAUGAAUAAAUUUCUUUUAGAGUGUCUUUAUUUUAAGGAAAAUAGAGGCAUUGUAGAAUAGCAGUUCAGACACAGGCCUUGAUAUAACCGUGUGAGGGUGAUGGCCUUUCCCAGCCGUGGUUCCUCACCUGUAAAGGGUGAGGACAGCAGCACCUGCCUCGGGGUGAGAAAGCAUGGCCCUCAGUAGUCGGUAGUGGCUGCCAUCAGCUUCACAGCUUACCUCUCCCGAUUUUAGAUGAGGCACCUGCGGCCCGAAGAGUCACAUGGGGUUUUCUGGCAAAAUCUCUCUUGUUUUAGUGGGUUCUGUGUUUAUACUGAUUCCUGGGAUAGAUAAGUCUGUCUUCUCCACAUAAUGAAAAUGAAAAACUUUAAUUUUAUACAGUGGCAGUUACUUUAGCCACUUUAAAAGUUAAGAAGUGUCAGUACAGCCAAGAAAAAAAAUCAGCAAAACUACAGGUUGGGAAAAAAUAUUUUCCAAACCAUAUAUCUAAUGAUAUCUUAGUAUCUAAAAUAGCAAAAAAAAAAAAAAAAAAAAAAAGCCCUACUAAAAACAACCUACUAAAGCCUACUAAAAAACAACCCAACUAAAAAUGGGCAAAGGACUUGAAUAGAUAUUUUUCCAGAGAAGACAUACAAAUGGCCAGUUGAUGUAUGAAAAAAUGCUCAACAUCACUAAGCACCAGAGAAAUGCAAAUUAAAGCCCCAAUGAGUAUCAUCUCAUCUCGCUCCAGUUAGAAUGGCUGUUACCAAGAGGACAAAAGAUAGUGUUGGUGAGGAUGUGGAGAAAAGGGAACCCUGUGUGCUGUUGGUGGGAAUGUAAAUUAGUACAACUAUUGUGGAAAACUCUGGAGGUUCCUCAAAAGCCGCAGGACUACCAUGUGCUCCAGCAACCUCAUUUCUGGGUGUAUAUCCAAAGGGCAUGAAAUCAGAAGCUCAAAGAGACACCUGGACCCCCAUGUUCAUUGCAGCGUUAUUCACAAUACCCAAGAUAUGGAAACAACCUAAAAAUUUUUGGUGUUUAAUGACAAUGUGGUGUGUAUACACAACUGAAUAUUAUUCAGCUAUGAAAACGAAGGAAAUCCUGUCAUGUGUGACAACGUGGAUGAACCCAAAGUCAUUAUGUUAAGUGAAACGACCCAGGCACAGAAAGACAGAUACUGCAUGUCACUCAUAUGUGGAUCUAAAACUGUCACAACUCACAGAAACAGAAUAGGACAGUGGUUGCCAGGGGCUGGGGGAAUGCAGACUGUGGCGAUGCUGAUUAAAGGUGUAACUUCCCGUUACAAGAUGAAGUUCUGAAGGUCUGAUAUACAGCAUGGUGGCUAGAGUUAAUGUUAUACAGCAUGGUGGCCAGAGUUAACAUUAUACAGCAUGGUGGCUAGAGUUAAUAUUAUACAGUACGGUGGCUAUCGUUAAUAUAACUUGAAAUUUGCGAAGAGAGUAGACCUUAGGCAUCUGUAUCUCCAAAAAAAAGGAUAAUUGUAUGAGGUGAGAGAUGUGUAUUAAGUUGAUUGUGUCAUCAGUUCACAAAAUAAAUCAUCACAUUGUACACCUUAAAUAUAUACAGUAUUGUUUUUUGUUUAAUUCAUCAAUCAUACCUCAGUAAAUCGGGGGGAAAAAAC